CAUUGCAGAUGACUUCUGCCCAAAUUUCUUUUUUAAUUCUACGUUCAUUCUUAUCCUUGCAGGGGCCCUAUCGAGCCAGCUGCGAAAUACCUUAUAGCCAAGUGCUCCUGCACACGUGGAAGUAUAGAAGCCGAAGAGGACCUUUGGCAGACGUCGUGCAGUGCUGUAGGACAGAAGGCAGUAUUUACGACCUGAUUACAGGACGCCAAUAUCGAACCGGACGAGAAAAGCUGGAUACCAGAUUGCCGGGCUUGCGCGAGAACCGUUCAAGAGUUCUCCGCUGCCGCCUCCAGCGCUGUUGCGGCGCCUCCCGCCACAGAGAGCCGACAUUUCCGGCAUGCGCCAACGCGGGAGAUUCAAUCUCGCAUUACCGGUGAUGGGCGCCACCAUUUGUACUCUCGAGUACGAGCCACCUUGAGCAACGUGCAGCGUCCGUAGACUACAGCUGUUCAAACAUCAGGAGCAAGCAUUAGACGGUAAGACCAGCUUGUACACUGCAUCCUAUCACGAUGUCUUGUCAACAGCACUGCUUUGCCCCUCUGUGCGUGUCACGCGGCCAAUGUUCCGUCAUGGAGACUAUUCCAGUGAGG